rnacentral:rRNA from 1 species
UUAAGUUAUUAAGGGCGCACGGUGGAUGCCUUGGCACUAGAAGCCGAUGAAGGACGUUACUAACGACGAUAUGCUUUGGGGAGCUGUAAGUAAGCUUUGAUCCAGAGAUUUCCGAAUGGGGAAACCCAGCAUGAGUUAUGUCAUGUUAUCGAUAUGUGAAUACAUAGCAUAUCAGAAGGCACACCCGGAGAACUGAAACAUCUUAGUACCCGGAGGAAGAGAAAGAAAAUUCGAUUCCCUUAGUAGCGGCGAGCGAAACGGGAAGAGCCCAAACCAACAAGUUUGCUUGUUGGGGUUGUAGGACACUCUAUACGGAGUUACAAAGGACGACAUUAGACGAAUCAUCUGGAAAGAUGAAUCAAAGAAGGUAAUAAUCCUGUAGUCGAAAAUGUUGUCUCUCUUGAGUGGAUCCUGAGUACGACGGAGCACGUGAAAUUCCGUUGGAAUCUGGGAGGACCAUCUCCUAAGGCUAAAUACUCUCUAGUGACCGAUAGUGAACCAGUACCGUGAGGGAAAGGUGAAAAGCACCCCGGAAGGGGAGUGAAAUAGAACCUGAAACCGUGUGCUUACAAGUAGUCAGAGCCCGUUAAUGGGUGAUGGCGUGCCUUUUGUAGAAUGAACCGGCGAGUUACGAUUUGAUGCAAGGUUAAGCAGUAAAUGUGGAGCCGUAGCGAAAGCGAGUCUGAAUAGGGCGUUUAGUAUUUGGUCGUAGACCCGAAACCAGGUGAUCUACCCUUGGUCAGGUUGAAGUUCAGGUAACACUGAAUGGAGGACCGAACCGACUUACGUUGAAAAGUGAGCGGAUGAACUGAGGGUAGCGGAGAAAUUCCAAUCGAACCUGGAGAUAGCUGGUUCUCUCCGAAAUAGCUUUAGGGCUAGCCUCAAGUGAUGAUUAUUGGAGGUAGAGCACUGUUUGGACGAGGGGCCCCUCUCGGGUUACCGAAUUCAGACAAACUCCGAAUGCCAAUUAAUUUAACUUGGGAGUCAGAACAUGGGUGAUAAGGUCCGUGUUCGAAAGGGAAACAGCCCAGACCACCAGCUAAGGUCCCAAAAUAUAUGUUAAGUGGAAAAGGAUGUGGCGUUGCCCAGACAACUAGGAUGUUGGCUUAGAAGCAGCCAUCAUUUAAAGAGUGCGUAAUAGCUCACUAGUCGAGUGACACUGCGCCGAAAAUGUACCGGGGCUAAACAUAUUACCGAAGCUGUGGAUUGUCCUUUGGACAAUGGUAGGAGAGCGUUCUAAGGGCGUUGAAGCAUGAUCGUAAGGACAUGUGGAGCGCUUAGAAGUGAGAAUGCCGGUGUGAGUAGCGAAAGACGGGUGAGAAUCCCGUCCACCGAUUGACUAAGGUUUCCAGAGGAAGGCUCGUCCGCUCUGGGUUAGUCGGGUCCUAAGCUGAGGCCGACAGGCGUAGGCGAUGGAUAACAGGUUGAUAUUCCUGUACCACCUAUAAUCGUUUUAAUCGAUGGGGGGACGCAGUAGGAUAGGCGAAGCGUGCGAUUGGAUUGCACGUCUAAGCAGUAAGGCUGAGUAUUAGGCAAAUCCGGUACUCAUUAAGGCUGAGCUGUGAUGGGGAGAAGACAUUGUGUCUUCGAGUCGUUGAUUUCACACUGCCGAGAAAAGCCUCUAGAUAGAAAAUAGGUGCCCGUACCGCAAACCGACACAGGUAGUCAAGAUGAGAAUUCUAAGGUGAGCGAGCGAACUCUCGUUAAGGAACUCGGCAAAAUGACCCCGUAACUUCGGGAGAAGGGGUGCUCUUUAGGGUUAACGCCCAGAAGAGCCGCAGUGAAUAGGCCCAAGCGACUGUUUAUCAAAAACACAGGUCUCUGCUAAACCGUAAGGUGAUGUAUAGGGGCUGACGCCUGCCCGGUGCUGGAAGGUUAAGAGGAGUGGUUAGCUUCUGCGAAGCUACGAAUCGAAGCCCCAGUAAACGGCGGCCGUAACUAUAACGGUCCUAAGGUAGCGAAAUUCCUUGUCGGGUAAGUUCCGACCCGCACGAAAGGCGUAACGAUUUGGGCACUGUCUCAACGAGAGACUCGGUGAAAUCAUAGUACCUGUGAAGAUGCAGGUUACCCGCGACAGGACGGAAAGACCCCGUGGAGCUUUACUGUAGCCUGAUAUUGAAAUUCGGCACAGCUUGUACAGGAUAGGUAGGAGCCUUUGAAACGUGAGCGCUAGCUUACGUGGAGGCGCUGGUGGGAUACUACCCUAGCUGUGUUGGCUUUCUAACCCGCACCACUUAUCGUGGUGGGAGACAGUGUCAGGCGGGCAGUUUGACUGGGGCGGUCGCCUCCUAAAAGGUAACGGAGGCGCUCAAAGGUUCCCUCAGAAUGGUUGGAAAUCAUUCAUAGAGUGUAAAGGCAUAAGGGAGCUUGACUGCGAGACCUACAAGUCGAGCAGGGUCGAAAGACGGACUUAGUGAUCCGGUGGUUCCGCAUGGAAGGGCCAUCGCUCAACGGAUAAAAGCUACCCCGGGGAUAACAGGCUUAUCUCCCCCAAGAGUUCACAUCGACGGGGAGGUUUGGCACCUCGAUGUCGGCUCAUCGCAUCCUGGGGCUGUAGUCGGUCCCAAGGGUUGGGCUGUUCGCCCAUUAAAGCGGUACGCGAGCUGGGUUCAGAACGUCGUGAGACAGUUCGGUCCCUAUCCGUCGUGGGCGUAGGAAAUUUGAGAGGAGCUGUCCUUAGUACGAGAGGACCGGGAUGGACAUACCUCUGGUGUACCAGUUGUCGUGCCAACGGCAUAGCUGGGUAGCUAUGUGUGGACGGGAUAAGUGCUGAAAGCAUCUAAGCAUGAAGCCCCCCUCAAGAUGAGAUUUCCCAACUUCGGUUAUAAGAUCCCUCAAAGAUGAUGAGGUUAAUAGGUUCGAGGUGGAAGCAUGGUGACAUGUGGAGCUGACGAAUACUAAUCGAUCGAAGACUUAAUCAA